rnacentral:rRNA from 1 species
AUUGAACGCUAGCGGGAUGCUUUACACAUGCAAGUCGAACGGCAGCGCGGACUUCGGUCUGGCGGCGAGUGGCGAACGGGUGAGUAAUGUAUCGGAACGUGCCCAGUAGCGGGGGAUAACUACGCGAAAGCGUAGCUAAUACCGCAUACGCCCUACGGGGGAAAGCAGGGGAUCGUAAGACCUUGCACUAUUGGAGCGGCCGAUAUCGGAUUAGCUAGUUGGUGAGGUAACGGCUCACCAAGGCGACGAUCCGUAGCUGGUUUGAGAGGACGGCCAGCCACACUGGGACUGAGACACGGCCCAGACUCCUACGGGAGGCAGCAGUGGGGAAUUUUGGACAAAGGGGGCAACCCUGAUCCAGCCAUCCCGCGUGUGCGAUGAAGGCCUUCGGGUUGUAAAGCACUUUUGGCAGGAAAGAAACGUCGCGGGCUAAUACCCCGUGGAACUGACGGUACCUGCAGAAUAAGCACCGGCUAACUACGUG